CACAAAACGUACCUAAAUUCGAUCAUUACGCAAGAUCAACAAUAACGUCCCUUGCAAAUGCAGGGUCAGCCAUAGUAUUACGGCGCCCCUGUAGCAAAUUAGGGGUUGGGGUUCAACGUGCAAGGCCAGCGCCAAGGUGGCGACAGAGGAGACGACCAUGGCAGUGGAGGGGAAGAGGGGUAUAAAAAAAGAGGAAGACGACCCGGAGACUGUCAGAGGGCCAGAGAGUGGUCAUUCAACACUGUAAAAGCUGACGAGUUUACGGGCGUAAUGCCAAGGGGGUCAGAGUUGCCCUCCUGGCUGCCCGCCCAGACCUCAUUGUGGUUCUGAACCCCCAGAAGCCCCGGAGUAAAAGUUUUGAAGUGAUGCUGGAGAGAAAGGGGAGUACUGUCUUCCAGGGAUACACCUCUAUGGGAAGUGUCUUUCUCUCCUUGGGUCUCAUCUGUUGUCUAAUUAUUCCCUUUCCUACAGAGGUAUGUCUGUGGUCGGUCYGGAAUAAAGAAAGGCCCACCUCGCAAGCUGAAGUUCCCUGAGCCUGAAGUUGUAGUUCCUGCCCUGGAGUGGCACUGAAGACUGAAUAAACAUUUGAUGGAACCAGUCAUCCAGGGUUUAUAGCAGCUGGAUGCAGAAUGAUGAGGACUGACUAACGUGGUUGCGCCCAAGURCUUCCUCUGAUGAGCCAAGCGUGGUGACAUCUAAUGGUGUCUCUCACAGUCCCYCUUUUACAAUAUUGCUGCUAUUAGUUGUGUUCACAUUAUUCAAUAACAUUUUUCAUCUGCUUUUAUAUUUGUCGAUGAAGAAUUAAAAUUGUUUUUACACAUUUUC